rnacentral:rRNA from 1 species
UACAGAGGGGGGCAAGCGUUGUUCGGAAUUACUGGGCGUAAAGGGCGCGUAGGCGGCCUUCUAAGUCGAACGUGAAAUCCCCGGGCUCAACCCGGGAACUGCGUCCGAUACUGGAAGGCUUGAAUCCGGGAGAGGGAUGCGGAAUUCCAGGUGUAGCGGUGAAAUGCGUAGAUAUCUGGAGGAACACCGGUGGCGAAGGCGGGUCUCUGGGCCGAUACUGACGCUGAGGAGCGAAAGCGUGGGGAGCGAACAGG